rnacentral:misc_RNA from 1 species
UUUCGUCUUGAUUUAAGUUAAUUUUUUUUUAUAGCGCAUAAAUACAUAUUUUUGGUGGGGACACCCACAAUUCCUAAAAAAACUGUGAAAAAAAAAAUAUAUUUAUCAUCCGUAAUUUAAAAUCUUAAAUUUUGUCGCGGUACUGCGCAUGUAUUUCUCAAAUAUCAUCCCAUAGGUAGAGGAAAAAGCGCGCAUGCGGAUAAAAUUGACUUGUCUAAAGUAAGGCUCGCCAGAUUUAAGAACAUUUGUUGGAUUUGUUGCAAGACUAUUCAAUCCAAGGAUUGUGUUUCCUGUGAGUGUUAUUUUCACAUCAAAAAAUUAUCUUCGAAGUUUUUUGUGAGUUUAAUUAAAAUUUACAUAGAUUUCUUUUAUUUAUAAAUAAAUUAUAAAUAAUAUUGAAAUCUUGUGGUAUAACUAAUAAUUAUAAAAAGUAUUGUUAAUCUUCAUCAGAUAAUUAAAAGAAAUGGGUGGCUUAGUACAACGACAAUGGUCUCCAACAAAAAGACGAGGGCCGAUCAGUGCUGAAUUUCGAAGUCCCGGACCGGCAUGUGUUUCUCUUCCCACACUCAUAGGUAAAACUGUCCCCGAUUCGAAACGAGGUCGAGCUCCAGCGUUUUCAUUUGGUAGCCGACAUUCACUAAAAAAUGAAAGUCCAGGCCCCGGACCAGGACAAUAUAAUGUAUCUGGCUUGAGCGCAAAAGGAAAAAAUACUGCUCCAGCAUUGUCGCUACAUGGCCGUAAUAAAGUAGACAAAAUAGAAUCCACCCCAGCUCCAGGAGACUACGACCCUCAAAAAGCAGAAAGUAUAAUCCUAGAUAGUUCUCCAAAAUAUUCUUUUGGAGUAAAAGUACAAGUUGAUAAAGUUAACUCGACGCCUGCACCUGGAACAUACUACCCCGAAAAAGUAAAUUUCGAUAAAGCACCUGAAUAUAGUUUCGGCUCAAAAACAUCUAUUGAAAGUCGAAAUGAUACACCAGCACCUGGAACAUACUACCCCGAAAAAGUAAAUUUCGAUAAAGCACCUGAAUAUAGUUUCGGCUCAAAAACAUCCAUUGAAAGUCGAAAUGAUACACCAGCACCUGGGACGUAUUACCCUGAAAACGUGAAUUUAAGUAAAACAUCAGAAUUUAGCUUUGGCACUAAAACAAUUGUUAGAAAUCGAAAUGAUACACCGGCGCCUGGAACGUAUUAUCCUGAGAAUGUUAAUUUAGAUAAAACACCAGCGUAUACUUUUGGGUCAAAAACACCCAUUGAAAAUCGUAAUGAUACACCAGCUCCAGGAUUUUACUCUCCAGAAAAAGUAAAUUUAGAUAAAUCAUCAGAAUUCAGUUUUGGAUUAAAAACACAUAUUGUAAAUCGAAAUGAUACACCAGCACCUGGGACGUACUACCCUGAAAAAGUAAAUUUAGAUAAAACACCAGCGUAUACUUUUGGGUCAAAAACACCCAUUGAAAAUCAUAACGACACACCAGCACCUGGAACAUAUUAUCCGGAAAACGUUAAUUUAGAUAAAUCCUCAGAAUUUAGCUUUGGUUUAAGAACAGCUAUUAAAAAUCAAAAUGAUACACCGGCACCUGGGACGUACUUUCCUGAGAAAGUAAUUCUAGACAGCACACCGGCAUAUUCAUUCGGCGCAAAAACUUCUAUUGAAAAGUGUAACGAUACUCCGGCACCUGGAGCGUACUUUCCUGAGAAAGUAAAUCUAGAUAAAACACCAGCGUAUGCAUUUGGCGUUAAAACAUUUAUUGAAAAUCGUAACGAUACGCCAGCACCUGGGACAUAUUACCCGGAAAAUGUGAAUUUAGAUAAAUCAUCAGAAUUUAGUUUUGGUUUAAGGACAACAAUUAAAAAUCAAAAUGAUACACCGGCACCAGGUGCGUACUUUCCUGAGAAAGUAAAUCUAGAUAAAACACCAGCGUAUACAUUUGGCGCUAAAACAUUUAUUGAAAAUCGUAAUGAUACACCAGCACCUGGAACAUAUUACCCAGAAAAAGUAAAUUUAGAUAAAACAUCUGAAUUCAGUUUUGGCUUAAAAACAAUUGUUAGGAAUCAUAACGACACACCGGCACCUGGAACAUACUCUCCUGAGAAAGUGAAUUUAGAUAAAACACCAGCGUAUACUUUUGGCUCAAAAACACCCAUUGAAAAUCAUAAUGAUACACCAGCUCCUGGAUUUUACUCCCCGGAAAACGUGAAUUUGGAAAAGUCACUAAAAUUUAGCUUCGGCUUAAAAUUAUCACCCGAAAAUGGAAAUAAUUUUCCAGGAAUUUUAAUGACUUGAUAUCAUACACUAUCAAGAUUGUUGAAGAAAUCGUCUUUAAUGACUAAUGCUUUUCAUCUUUGAAACAUAAUAAUAUUUAUCAUGAAAAAGCACAAGCAACAUCUGUGACUAACUAUGAUUCUCCGAAUGUUUACACCAUACCUUCAGCAUUCGGCGCUACUAAAGAAGGCAA